UUCUGAGUUGUCUCCGUCUCUUCGCCUUCAAGAUCAUCGCUCCGACUUCUGCAAUCCAACGUUACCCAAUCUCACUCAUUCAGUUUUGUUCUUUACACCUAUCUUAAUAAGAGAUGUUAUCCUUUGACCUCCCUUUUUUCUCUUAUAUAAACCUUACAUCAAAGCUUUCGAUAUAAACCCUAGAGCUUUCAUCGAACAACUAUAUACGAUCUCCAUACAAAAAAUUGCAUUAGAAAGUCGAAGGCCUUAGAUAUUCAAUGAAACUCUGAUGCUGUGUUAUUAUUUUCUAUCAAAGCGAACCAAUUUCCAGACUUAUAUGUGGUUCAUUAUCCUGCUGUUCUGUUAGUAACCACAGUGAACACUAAACAUAUUGGAGCGGAGCUACACAAACGGAGCUAGAGAUCAAAGCAAGUUAGAAAGCUAUUCUUAGGAUCUAAGAUCAUUCAAAUGGGAGGCUUAGAGAAGAACUACAAGCGGCUCUUUAGAGUCUACGAUGUUACUUAUCCACAAUCGCAGCGUUACUCUUCAUCUCAUCAAAGAAGAUUGCUUUCUGCAGCGACAGAUCUAUCCAACUGGCUUCUCCUCAGGGAGAUCAUGAGGGUUCACUACAAAGUGUCAAUCCCUCUGUACAAGAUCAAAAGAGUGAACAUAGUGUAGAGUCUAAACACUAAGAAACGUACUUAUGACUGGAUACUGUGUGUUG